UACAGAGGUCUCAAGCGUUGUUUCGGAUUCAUUGGGCGUAAAGGGUGCGUAGGCGGCGCGGUAAGUCGGGGUGUGAAAUCUUGGAGCUUAACUCCGAAACUGCAUUCGAUACUGCCGGUGCUUGAGGACUGGAGAGGAGACGUGGGAAAUUUACGGUGUAGCGGUGAAAUGCGUAGAUAUCGUAAGGAAGACCAGUGGCGAAG
rnacentral:rRNA from 1 species